UGUUUGCUGUGAUGAAUCACAAGGACGGUAUCUGAGUAAGAUUUCUCUUGAAAAGGGCCUUCUUCAUUGAUUAUACAUCCUAAACCGAUCAUAAAUUCUGAGCAAACA